AUUGAACGCUGGCGGCAGGCCUAACACAUGCAAGUCGAGCGGAUGAAGGGAGCUUGCUCCUGGAUUCAGCGGCGGACGGGUGAGUAAUGCCUAGGAAUCUGCCUGGUAGUGGGGGAUAACGCCCGGAAACGGGCGCUAAUACCGCAUACGUCCUGAGGGAGAAAGUGGGGGAUCUUCGGACCUCACGCUAUCAGAUGAGCCUAGGUCGGAUUAGCUAGUUGGUGGGGUAAAGGCCUACCAAGGCGACGAUCCGUAACUGGUCUGAGAGGAUGAUCAGUCACACUGGAACUGAGACACGGUCCAGACUCCUACGGGAGGCAGCAGUGGGGAAUAUUGGACAAUGGGCGAAAGCCUGAUCCAGCCUUGCCGCGUGUGUGAAGAAGGUCUUCGGAUUGUAAAGCACUUUAAGUUGGGAGGAAGGGCAGUAAGUUAAUACCUUGCUGUUUUGACGUUACCAACAGAAUAAGCACCGGCUAACUUCGUG
rnacentral:rRNA from 1 species